AAACAUCCUGACCAGGCCCACCUGUGAAUGACUGCGGGCAGGAAGAAAUUAACACAUCCCCUCUGGAGGCGGGCUGGAACCAGGAAGUGUUUGACUUUACUCCCUCCCCUUUUAGUAUAAAAGAAGCCGAAGUUCUAACUCAGGUGAAGAAGUGAUUGCCAGAGAGACUAAGUGACUUAAGUCAUAUGAAGAAUUUGAGUGCCCUGGAAUUCCCUUUACUUUUAAAACAUACUAUGUACAGGGCAGCAAUGGUCACUGGAAUAGUGCUAUUUACAUGACUAAACCACAAGUCGAGGUGCAGACAUGUGAAAAUUAAAAAAAAAAAUACACCAACAUUAAAAUAAAUACUGCAUAA